CCCCCCGGGGGGGGGUGCUUACACAUGCAAGUCGAACGAUGAACCGCUUUCGGGCGGGGAUUAGUGGCGAACGGGUGAGUAACACGUGGGCAAUCUGCCCUGCACUCUGGGACAAGCCCUGGAAACGGGGUCUAAUACCGGAUAUGACUGUCCAUCGCAUGGUGGAUGGUGUAAAGCUCCGGCGGUGCAGGAUGAGCCCGCGGCCUAUCAGCUUGUUGGUGAGGUAGUGGCUCACCAAGGCGACGACGGGUAGCCGGCCUGAGAGGGCGACCGGCCACACUGGGACUGAGACACGGCCCAGACUCCUACGGGAGGCAGCAGUGGGGAAUAUUGCACAAUGGGCGAAAGCCUGAUGCAGCGACGCCGCGUGAGGGAUGACGGCCUUCGGGUUGUAAACCUCUUUCAGCAGGGAAGAAGCGAAAGUGACGGUACCUGCAGAAGAAGCGCCGGCUAACUACGUGCCAGCAGCCGCGGUAAUACGUAGGGCGCAAGCGUUGUCCGGAAUUAUUGGGCGUAAAGAGCUCGUAGGCGGCUUGUCACGUCGGUUGUGAAAGCCCGGGGCUUAACCCCGGGUCUGCAGUCGAUACGGGCAGGCUAGAGUUCGGUAGGGGAGAUCGGAAUUCCUGGUGUAGCGGUGAAAUGCGCAGAUAUCAGGAGGAACACCGGUGGCGAAGGCGGAUCUCUGGGCCGAUACUGACGC
rnacentral:rRNA from 1 species